rnacentral:rRNA from 1 species
GACGAACGCUGGCGGCGUGCCUAAUACAUGCAAGUUGAGCGCUGAAGGUUGGUACUUGUACCAACUGGAUGAGCAGCGAACGGGUGAGUAACGCGUGGGGAAUCUGCCUUUGAGCGGGGGACAACAUUUGGAAACGAAUGCUAAUACCGCAUAAAAACUUUAAACACAAGUUUUAAGUUUGAAAGAUGCAAUUGCAUCACUCAAAGAUGAUCCCGCGUUGUAUUAGCUAGUUGGUGAGGUAAAGGCUCACCAAGGCGAUGAUACAUAGCCGACCUGAGAGGGUGAUCGGCCACAUUGGGACUGAGACACGGCCCAAACUCCUACGGGAGGCAGCAGCAGGGAAUCUUCGGCAAUAGACGAAAGUCUGACCGAGCAACGCCGCGGGAGUGAAGAAGGUUUUCGGAUCGUAAAACUCUGUUGGUAGAGAAGAACGUUGGUGAGAGUGGAAAGCUCAUCAAGUGACGGUAACUACCCAGAAAGGGACGGCUAACUACGUG